rnacentral:tRNA from 1 species
GGGGAUGUGGUUUAGUGGUGAAGCACUUGCUUAGCAUGCAUGAGGCCCUGGAUUCAAACUCCAGCAUCACAC